rnacentral:rRNA from 1 species
AAACCGGAGGAAGGUGGGGAUGACGUCAAAUCAUCAUGCCCCUUAUGACCUGGGCUACACACGUGCUACAAUGGAUGGUACAAAGGGCUGCAAGACCGCGAGGUCAAGCCAAUCCCAUAAAACCAUUCUCAGUUCGGAUUGUAGGCUGCAACUCGCCUACAUGAAGCUGGAAUCGCUAGUAAUCGCGGAUCAGCAUGCCGCGGUGAAUACGUUCCCGGGCCUUGUACACACCGCCCGUCACACCACGAGAGUUUGUAACACCCGAAGUCGGUGGAGUAACCGUAAGGAGCUAGCCGCCUAAGGUGGGACAGAUGAUUGGGGUGAAGUCGUAACAAG